AACGAACGCUGGCGGCGUGCCUAACACAUGCAAGUCGAACGGGAAAACCCGCAAGGGUGAGUACAGUGGCGCACGGGUGCGUAACACGUGGGUAAUCUGCCCAGAAGCCCGGAAUAACUCCCCGAAAGGGGUGCUAACGCCGGAUGAGACCACGGGGACUUCGGUUCCUGGGGGAAAAGGUGGCCUCUGUAUACAAGCUAUCACUUCUGGAUGAGCCCGCGGCCCAUCAGCUAGUUGGCGGGGUAAUGGCCCACCACGGCUACGACGGGUAGCUGGUCUGAGAGGACGAUCAGCCACACUGGAACUGAGACACGGUCCAGACUCCUACGGGAGGCAGCAGUGGGGAAUCUUGCGCAAUGGGCGAAAGCCUGACGCAGCAACGCCGCGUGUGUGAUGGAGGUCUUCGGAUCGUAAAGCACUGUCGGGAGGGACGAAUAAGGGCCGGGUGAACAAUCCGGUUCGACGACGGUACCUCCAGAGGAAGCACCGGCUAACUCUGUGCCAGCCGCCGCAGUAACAC
rnacentral:rRNA from 1 species